CCUACGGGAGGCAGCAGUGGGGAAUCUUGCGCAAUGGGCGAAAGCCUGACGCAGCAACGCCGCGUGCGGGAAGAAGGCCUUCGGGUUGUAAACCGCUUUCAGCAGGAACGAAAAUGACGGUACCUGCAGAAGAAGGAGCGGCCAACUACGUGCCAGCAGCCGCGGUGACACGUAGGCUCCAAGCGUUGUCCGGAUUUAUUGGGCGUAAAGAGCUCGUAGGCGGUUCAGUAAGUCGGGUGUGAAAACUCUGGGCUCAACCCAGAGCCUGCAUUCGAAACUGCUGUGACUAGAGUUUGGUAGGGGAGCGGGGAAUUCCUAGUGUAGCGGUGAAAUGCGCAGAUAUUAGGAGGAACACCGGUGGCGAAAGCGCCGCUCUGGGCCAAUACUGACGCUGAGGAGCGAAAGCGUGGGUAGCAAACAGGAUUAGAUACCCUGGUAGUCCACGCCGUAAACGAUGGGCACUAGGUGUGGGUUUCAACUAACGAAAUCCGUGCCGUCGCUAACGCAUAGUGCCCGCCGUGGGAGGUACGGUCGCGAGACUAAACUACAAUAGAAUUAGACGGCGUGAGACGUGCCGAACGGACGACCGACGAGGGGAGGUAGG
rnacentral:rRNA from 1 species